rnacentral:misc_RNA from 1 species
CGUCGAAACCAAACACAUGGUUCCUUUGAUCACGAAAAACCAACAGCUAUGUCUUUGCGACUUUGUCGUGAAGGUUGGGAGUAUCACCCCCGUUAAAGCUCUAUCAUAUGAGGUGUCUAUGUAUGACAUGAGUCGUUCGUGAGUGGCGGCUGUGAUUGUUCAUGCGAAGUUCCCAUUUCUGAUGGUUGAGCUUAAGACUUAAUGAGUAUUGCAAGAAUUCCGCCUCAUAGUUUUGUAAUGGUGGUUGAGUACAUACCAGUCAGGUGUGUACGGUACCUGGUUGUCAGGAAAUCUUAAUGAUCUCGCCUAGACGCCAUUACAAAACACAACUAUCUAUGUUUAAAGUUUGCAGAAACGUGUUCACAUAUUUGUGUCACAAUU